GCGUGCGGUGCUGACACCAAAAUGGAGGUCCCGUGUUUCUGAGAGUCUCUUUCAGAGCAAUGCAAACCUGAAACUACUCCUGCCAAGAAACGAUUGCAGCUCUUCCCGGAAAAGUUAAAGCCUUUGAGAAACAAAGCUGAGGUUGAAAGUAUUAGUCCAUUUUAUAGAUGAAGAAAUGGAGGCCCAGAGAGAUCACGUGACUUAGCCAAGUCCACCAACAUGCUGGACCACAUCAAGUUCAGAAGCUUCUGAACAGCGAAGGA
rnacentral:lncRNA from 1 species